ensembl:lncRNA
UGCAAUAUAACACCCCAUCAGGUGUCCUGUUGGUGGCAAUAUAAAACCCCAUCAGGUGUCCUGUUGGAGGCAAUAUAAAACCCUAUCAGGUGUCCUGUUGGUUGCAAUAUAAAACCCCAUCAGGUGGAUUUAUAAAAGUCAGCAAAUUAAGGCAGAUAACAGAAGAAUACAUGUUCACUGUUCAACGUAUAGAACAAUCAGAAAACAUAUAGACAGUAUGAAUGGGAGCAUCAUGCAUUAACUCCUACACCCAUCAAACUCAACUCAGGACCUCCAAGCCAGAUCCACUGCCUUUUUUCAUUGUUCCCCUCUAAAUCAGGGACUGAUUUAGACCUGGGACACGAGGUGUGUGCAAUUAUCCUGUAGAACAGUAAACCAGCAGGUUCUAGAACUGGUAGGGUAAGAGUUGAAUACCCCUGUCCUAUAGGAGGCUCACUAUAGGCUGGCUGUAGAACAGUAAACCAGCAGGUUCUGGAACUGGUAGGGUAAGAGUUGAAUACCCCUGUCCUAUAGGAGGCUCACUAUAGGCUGGCUGUAGAACAGUGUAGGAUGGGAUAUGUACCUCAGGCUUUUUGCAUAAUAUAGCAUUUUGUUUUUCUCCACAAAACCUUGAUAUUUGAUCAUUUCAUUUACAAUAGAAUGUGAUCUCGGUCACAACCAGAC